rnacentral:rRNA from 1 species
UACAUGGGGUGCAAACGUUGCUCGGAAUCAUUGGGCGUAAAGCGCGCGUAGGCGGUUACACAAGUUGGAUGUGAAAGCCCUCGGCUUAACUGAGGAAGUGCAUCCAAAACUGUGCAGCUAGAGUACUAAAGAGGGUCGCGGAAUUCCCGGUGUAGAGGUGAAAUUCGUAGAUAUCGGGAGGAACACCGGUGGCGAAGGCGGCGACCUGGGUAGAUACUGACACUGAGGCGCGAAAGCGUGGGGAGCAAACAGG